rnacentral:rRNA from 1 species
UACAGAGGUCUCAAGCGUUGUUCGGAUUCAUUGGGCGUAAAGGGUGCGUAGGCGGCGCGGUAAGUCGGGUGUGAAAUCUCGGAGCUUAACUCCGAAACUGCAUUCGAUACUGCCGUGCUUGAGGACUGGAGAGGAGACUGGAAUUUACGGUGUAGCGGUGAAAUGCGUAGAUAUCGUAAGGAAGACCAGUGGCGAAGGCGGGUCUCGUGGACAGUUCCGUGAC